UCCUACGGGGGGCAGCAGUGGGGAAUAUUGCACAAUGGGGGAAACCCUGAUGCAGCGACGCCGCGUGAGUGAAGAAGUAUUUCGGUAUGUAAAGCUCUGUCAGCAGGGAAGAAAAUGACGGUACCUGACCAAGAAGCCCCGGCUAACUACGUGCCAGCAGCCGCGGUAAUACGUAGGGGGCAAGCGUUAUCCGGAUUUACUGGGUGUAAAGGGAGCGUAGACGGCAGUGCAAGUCUGGAGUGAAAGGCGGGGGCUCAACCCCCGGACUGCUCUGGAAACUGUACGGCUGGAGUGCAGGAGAGGUA
rnacentral:rRNA from 1 species